rnacentral:rRNA from 1 species
CAAGUCUGAUGGAGCAACGCCGCGUGAGUGAAGAAGGGUUUCGGCUCGUAAAGCUCUGUUGGUAGUGAAGAAAGAUAGGGGUAGUAACUGGCCUUUAUUUGACGGUAAUUACUUAGAAAGUCACGGCUAACUACGUGCCAGCAGCCGCGGUAAUACGUAGGUGGCAAGCGUUGUCCGGAUUUAUUGGGCGUAAAGCGAGUGCAGGCGGUUCAAUAAGUCUGAUGUGAAAGCCUUCGGCUCAACCGGAGAAUUGCAUCAGAAACUGUUGAACUUGAGUGCAGAAGAGGAGAGUGGAACUCCAUGUGUAGCGGUGGAAUGCGUAGAUAUAUGGAAGAACACCAGUGGCGAAGGCGGCUCUCUGGUCUGCAACUGACGCUGAGGCUCGAAAGCAUGGGUAGCGAACAGGAUUAGAUACCCUGGUAGUCCAUGCCGUAAACGAUGAGUGCUAAGUGUUGGGAGGUUUCCGCCUCUCAGUGCUGCAGCUAACGCAUUAAGCACUCCGCCUGGGGAGUACGACCGCAAGGUUGAAACUCAAAGGAAUUGACGGGGGCCCGCACAAGCGGUGGAGCAUGUGGUUUAAUUCGAAGCAACGCGAAGAACCUUACCAGGUCUUGACAUCCAGUGCAAACCUAAGAGAUUAGGUGUUCCCUUCGGG